UUGUAGCGCUUUAUUGUUGAAUUCAAGACAUUAACUUCUGUUCACAUAGAAGAGGUUUGAUUCAAAAACAAAUGGGAAAUUUGCUUUCAAAAUAGUAAGCAAAUCCUUCGAUUCAUUUCAUUCUCUUCGAAGAAUCAAAGAAAUUUCAAUAAUUUUCAGAUCGACUACCCAAGUUAAAGAUGCGGAAUCCGUUUGCUGAAGGAAGAUAUAUCAGAAAUUGCCAUUGAACUUCACCAUGAUUUCAAAGAGACGUAAUAGAACACGUAAUAGGCGCAUUGUAAUUUGAGUGGAUCCUAAAAACAAAGCUGAGAAACGAUCCACAAGAAAUUUGUGACGUUGAAGCUCCUGUUUCGAGUGUAACUGAAAUAAAACAAAUAUCACCAAGGGAUACAUCGCAAGAACCUCUAAAAAUAGAAGGAAAGUUGUGAAUACUAUUCAAGGUUCCAAAGAAAAUGAGAUUUAAUGAUACGAGAAAUUGCAUCAACAUGAAAACAAAUUAACUAGAAC